ACUAGACGCCGUCCAGUCUACCUCUAACAACACCGCCACAUGUCGUAUGACGUUCUAUCGCAUAAAACCAGCGAGUGACCGAUGUACGCUGAACUAGUCUCUAUACAGACUGACCAACGCAUUUUGAUUAUGUCAACGAUAACUUAUUGAACAACUCGUUAACGAAGUAUAAAACUUUUAUGAGAAAAAAAGCAGGCAGUUAAAAUAAACAAAAGAUUGAAGAGAAAAAGUCUACGAAUGUUGAAGAAAAUUUCCGCAUGAGUUCGCUGUUAUGAAGAACUUUUGAACAAUUUGGUUGAAAGACUGUGAAAAGGUUUGAUUCUGCAGAGAAAGUAGAGGUGGUAAGAUGGAAAUGUCAGAACCGGAAUUGCCAGAAGUACUAGAGGAAGACGAAGAUGUGGAAGAAGGGGACCAACAGGAAGAGGGCGAUGAAAAGCCAGAAGAAUAUGCAUUGUCAGAAGACGUGAUCAGUGAGUGUCUUUCAUUGCUCUAUAAAAUAGGUG
rnacentral:lncRNA from 1 species